CUAAAGUAGAAAGGAAAGAAUAGAAUGGUUAAAAAUAUUAAAUAAUAGAACUCAUAAUAUAGGUUUUCCAGAGUCUUUACCAGCAACAAAGUUCCAACAUCUGGCUUCUCUUUGAGAUUUUCGAGUAUUCCCUCUAGUUGUUUCCUGAAAAGACAGACCAUGUGAAACCUUUUACAGCAGGUACCACAACCACUUAUAGAAAUAAUGCUAUUCAUGGUCCUUCCAAAAUUAAUUUCUCAGAUUCUAACAUGGUGGUGUAAGCCUUUUUAGCCUUAUUUUUCCUUUUAAUAUCUCAACCAGAGAAUGGAUAUAGUAUUUUUAGUUUAAUAUUACAGUAAUAUGUACAAGUCUAGUGGAUGUGUUUAAUUGGUCAACGACCUGGAUAUGACAAGCCUAAUAUUACAAGUCUAUUAGAUGUGUUUAAGUUGGUACGCAACCUGGAUUUAAUGAACCUAAGGAGUAAAAUCCAACAUUAUUCCAAACUAUUAUAAGCAUGCUGCAUUAAAUAAAGUCUGAACAGAUUUAUAUUUAACUUCCCUAUGCAAGUUUAGAUAUGUCAUCCAACUCCAAAUUAUCUUAUUUCCAUCUGGUCAAAACUAAAACACAGGAAGGGCUCACUAAUCAAAUGAAUAGCAUGGCACAGAACAAGUACCCACUUUAACUUCAGUAACUUGUCAUAACCCAGUCUACAGGCAUUUAACAUGGUUCAUAUGUUCUGUUGCUUUUCAUUUCUCUAGUUUUCUAAAAUAAAAUGUAUAACCUGAGUCACACUGUUCAAGUUAUUCAAGCAUGCAAGUAGUUCCUAGAUUUCAAAAGAAAUAUGCAACCUACCAGUGGAGUGGGAAAUUUGAAAUAGAUGGCGGCGAACCUUUGAUGGCGGCGGACGUUGGAUGCCUGCGGCAGUGAACGAGCGUUCCGUUGGACGCAAGUUCAGAUUUCAGUGAGCACGUGGACAGUGAUGCCGAGAAGAAGUUGAUGGCGCAGGACGAUGGAUGCCGGCGACAGUGGAUGGCGGCGAACCGUUGAUAGCGCAGGACGAUGGAUGCCGGCGACAGUGAACGACCGAGAAGAAGUUGGAGGGAAGUUCAGAUUUCAGAGUGCUUUUGAUUUUGAUUUUACAAGCAAAGGAUUUAGGGAUUUCAUUUAGGUUUUGUAUUUGGCUCCAAAAAUUCACUUACGGAUUUCUAACGGGAAAAGGUUCCGUUAAUAUUUCACUAACGGAUUUCUA
rnacentral:lncRNA from 1 species